AAUAUAUGAUGUCGUUGACUUUUUUUCAACGUUUGACCAUUCAUCUUAUUUAAAAAAUUUAUAUAAUUAUCAUUUAUUUUAUUGUGACUUGAUUCGUCAUCAAAUGUUCUUUAAGCAUGACAUAAAUAUUUUUAUAUUCGCACAAAAAAUUUGAAUAAAAUGAAUGGUCAAACGUUGGUCGAAAAGUCAACGGCGUCAUACAUU
rnacentral:pre_miRNA from 1 species